CUCCCUCCUUUGCUCCGGGGGCUAUUUCGAGAGCCUCCUCCCUCCCUCCCUCCCUCCCUCCCUCCCUUCCUCCCGCCCGCCCGCCCCUCCCCCCAGGACCGGACGGGACCCGCCACACCAACUACUUGGGCCUGGGGGCUCCCCCCGGGGACACCCACACACACACACAAUCUCUCCUUGUCUCUCUCGCACACACACACACACGCUCCCUCUCCUACACAAACACACAUAGGCUCUGCCACACACAUACAAUCUCUCGGUGUCUCUCUCUCUCACACACAAUCUCGAUUACACACAGUCUCUGUUACCCCCACACACUCUGUCGCACACACCCCCCCAGUUUCUCUCUGUCACGCACACAAUCUCUCGGGGUCACACACACACACCGUCUCUCCCUGUCACACACACAAUCUCUCGGUGUCACACAAACGCACCGUCUCUCUCUCUCUCACACACACAGUCUCCUACACACACACACACACACAAACACAGUCUCUCUACCACACACGCACAAUCUGUGUCACACACACACACCCUCAUAUACACACACACAAACACACAGUCUCUCUCUCUGUGUCACACACACAGAGUCACACAUCCACAGUCUCUCUCACACCCUCCCAAACACACACGCACACGGUCUCUGUGUGUCACACACACAAUCUCUCUCUCUCUCUCACACACACACAGUCCCUCUGUUCCUCCCGGACCCGCACCCCCUCCCUCCCUCUCCCACACACAGUCGCACGAACACAGUCCCGCACAGGCAGUCUCUCUCUCUCUCUGUGUCACACACAGACACAUCCCUCCAUCCCUGGGAAGAUGUCAGUCCUGGGAGGGGGGAGGCGAAGUUAGCCGCUCCCCAGCGGGGCUGCAGAAGGCCGCCGGACCCGAACCCGGGACCAGGUUAGCCCUGCUUACUCUCGUCUCCUUGGCCAGGAUCUCCCCAGCUCAACAAGCCCCGCUGAGAUCCCACCUCAAGCUGCUAAAGCCAGUUCUCCAAGCCAUCUACAAUGAGCUCCACAGCACAGUCAGGUCAGUCCCGACCACACUUAACCCAGACACAGAUUUCACCGGAAGCUCGAUAUUUGCCGUUGACCUUGAGAAAAUCUCCCAGGUCUGGGAUGUUCUUCCAACACCAUUUAUGGGUUGUUGUUUUUUUUUUUGCUCGUCUAGAUUCUGAUUUCAAACCUAUAUGAUUGUAUUCAGUCUGCAUUCUGGGCACAUUAUUUUAUUUGUAUUAGUAUUACAGCAUUGAGUUUACAUGCUUAGGCUUUGGGUACGCCUUUUCUGAACCAGGACGAGCAUUGUGAACAGUUGCUUGUAAAAGACUUAGUUCACAUUUUUAUUACUUCCAACGUAAUGCGGGCCUGCUCCGUUUUCACUCAGUCCGGGGACUUUGGAAAUCACAUGGUAGGUCGAAUCAUUUAUUUUCUCCCUGCGGUCCUUGGAAAGUUGUCUCUCUUUCUCCACGCUGCUGCUUCAGACCCACACACGCACACGCAGGCCUAGACCAACACAUGUAGAGAAACUCUCCCGUCACUACCCCCAUGCUCAUGCAAAAUAAAAACACACACGCAUGCACUAAUUAUUUUUUCUGCACCCAUUUCCUCUGCAGUCAGUUAACUCUGCUGUUUUUAAGCCUGUAACCAAAGAAUCUCCGUGAUCGUCACGGCCAACACCCAUCUUUUUUGUAUCAAUAUACCCAGUUGGUUUUAGGAAUAGGAGCCUCCAGGUCAGUAAUAAUAAUAACGGUGGUAUUUGUUAAUUGCUUACUCUGUGCCCAGCACUGUGAGGUGAAGUUGUCAGCAGUACUAGCUAACUAGGUUACACUAAUUGACUGAUUACUCAAAUUCAUUAUUUGCUUGGUACCAGGAACUUGGUUAUGUGUAUAGUGUGGCUGUCCUAGCUUAUUUAUUUUUUCAUCGGUGAUUUUGAAACUAGCUAACAGAGACUAAAUUAAAUGUUAUAUCUUGAAAUGAAAGUCAUUAAUGUAAUAGUUUACCUGCUUUGUAUGUAACUAUUUUAAUAUAAAAAAACUGUGGUUAAUUUUGUUUGUUUUUUAAUGAUGAUAUUUCCACCCCUGUAAUUGUCCUGCUAAUGCAGUCGCGUGAGGAGCAAUUGGUCCUAUGAAAUUAAAGAAAGAACUUUUCU
rnacentral:lncRNA from 1 species